rnacentral:rRNA from 1 species
CUACGGGAGGCAGCAGUGGGGAAUAUUGGACAAUGGGCGCAAGCCUGAUCCAGCCAUACCGCGUGGGUGAAGAAGGCCUUCGGGUUGUAAAGCCCUUUUGUUGGGAAAGAAAUCCAGCUGGCUAAUACCCGGUUGGGAUGACGGUACCCAAAGAAUAAGCACCGGCUAACUUCGUGCCAGCAGCCGCGGUAAU